rnacentral:rRNA from 1 species
UUAUUCCUACGGGACGCAGCAGGGAAUAUUGCUCAAUGGGGGAAACCCUGAAGCAGCAACGCCGCGUGGAGGAUGAAGGUUUUCGGAUUGUAAACUCCUUUUGUUAGAGAAGAUAAUGACGGUAUCUAACGAAUAAGCACCGGCUAACUCCGUGCCAGCAGCCGCGGUAAUACGGAGGGUGCAAGCGUUACUCGGAAUCACUGGGCGUAAAGAGCGCGUAGGCGGGAUAGCAAGUCAGAUGUGAAAUCCUAUGGCUUAACCAUAGAACUGCAUUUGAAACUGUUAUUCUAGAGUAUGGGAGAGGG